AUGCUACCGGGCGACCGGAUGCGGAUCUCGAAAGCCUGUCCCAGUUCGGACUGGAGUCUGCAACCCGACUCCACGAAGUUGGAUUCGCUAGUAAUCGCGCAUCAGCCAUGGCGCGGUGAAUACGUUCCCGGGCCUUGUACACACCGCCCGUCAAGCCAUGGGAGCCGGGGGGCGCCUGAAGUCCGGGACCGCGAGGACCGGCCUAGGGCGAAACUGGUAACUGGGGCUAAGUCGUAACAAGGUAGC
rnacentral:rRNA from 1 species